AACGAACGCUGGCGGCAUGCCUAACACAUGCAAGUCGAACGAGACCUUCGGGUCUAGUGGCGCACGGGUGCGUAACGCGUGGGAACCUGCCCUUAGGUUCGGAAUAACUCCCCGAAAGGGGUGCUAAUACCGGAUAAUGUCUUCGGACCAAAGAUUUAUCGCCUUUGGAUGGGCCCGCGUUGGAUUAGCUAGUUGGUAGGGUAAAAGCCUACCAAGGCGACGAUCCAUAGCUGGUCUGAGAGGAUGAUCAGCCACACUGGGACUGAGACACGGCCCAGACUCCUACGGGAGGCAGCAGUGGGGAAUAUUGGGCAAUGGACGAAAGCCUGAUCCAGCAAUGCCGCGUGAGUGAUGAAGGCCUUAGGGUUGUAAAGCUCUUUUACCCGGGAUGAUAAUGACAGUACCGGGAGAAUAAGCUCCGGCUAACUCCGUG
rnacentral:rRNA from 1 species